rnacentral:rRNA from 1 species
GCAAGUCGAACGAACAAACCUUCUUCGGAGGGUGCGUAAGUGGCAGAGGGGUGAGUAACGCGUGGGCAAUCUACAUCCGAGUGGGGAAUACCAAGUCGAAAGGAAUGUUAAUACCGCAUAAUACUUUCGUGACCUUGGUCAUGAUACUCAAAGCUGGGGAUCUUCGGACCUGGCGCUUGGAGAGGAGCUCGCGUGAGAUUAGUUAGUUGGUGGGGUAACGGCCUACCAAGACGACGAUCUCUAGCCGACCUGAGAGGGUGAUC